rnacentral:lncRNA from 1 species
AUGAGGAAUGUUUUAUAUAUAUACAUAUAUUAUAUCACUGUGAAUGUCCAUUUCAAAAGAGGUAUUAGUACCCUUUUUUUUCCUUUAAUCCGAUGGAUCGUAUCUAGUUGGAAAAGUACGAAUUAUCACCCUGAGCCGGCAGAGGCUGACUGCAAAGAUCGGCGACCGUGGAGGCAAGGGUGGCGCCGUCGAGGACGAGUGGCGCGCCAGCGGCUACGAGCCUCCUCUUUCUCCUAUCCCCCUCUUCCCUCUCUCUCUCUCUCUCUCUCUCUCACGUGGGGGCAAGCGCGGGUCCAGGUCGAGCGGCGCCGGCGGUCGGCGUCGAGCGGCGACGGCGGUCGACACGCGGAGCCGAGCGACGUGCGGUGGUGUAGAAAGUGGAGGCGGGAUGUCGGUUGCCACAGCUGCGGCCGAAGCGGAGGCGGAGGCCGAGGCAAUGGCGGCGUUGAGGCUCCUCGCCGGUUUCCUCUGGUUCGCCCUCCCCAUUGCCACGCUCGCCACCGGCCGGAGCCACCCAGCUGUGCUCGACGCCGCUCGCCACCAAUCUCCGACCUCCGCCUCCACUGCUCGCUGCAG